AUGGACGAGGACGAGUACUCGUGGGUGCGGCGCACCAAGUUCUCGCACUCCAUCGUCAGGUCUAGCUCCGGCAGGUGCUCCUUCGACGAGCAGUUCAGCCGCCGCGCCGUGUCCAUGCAGAAAGAUUUUGAUUCGGAGCUCAAGAGCCUGCGGCCGAGGGCCAAAGGGGCGGUCUCAAACCCGGCGAGGCCGGCGAUUCCCAGGGCAAAAUCGGCAGCCGGCCAGGCAGACCGGAAGCCGAAAGAUGUUGUGUUUUCAGAUGUUCAGCUGAAACAGAGUGGUUCUGUUGGCGAUGGCUCACUGAAAGAAACGUCGAUGAUGCAAGAUCGGCGUGAGGUUGGACCCAAGGGAAACGGCCUGAGCUUGAAAUCACUGGAUAUUCCUAAUCGGCGUAUUGUCCGGGGUUUGAAUGAUGGAAGCUCAGGCAACACGCUGGAGUUCUCUUUCCACUCCGAGGAGCAAAGCUUGAGGUUGCAGAGGGUGUGCUCUAGCCCAGGUCCUUACUUUGCCAAGGAUGCAGGGCUAGCCGGGGAUUCUAAUCCACGGAGUGUAUCUUUCAAGGUUGCUGGGGAUGGAUCAAAGCCGAAGAGAAGAGCGAAAUCCCCUAUCCCAGCGCGCGUCAUCUCCGACGUUUUUAGGGAGGCGAAAGCUGCCAGCAAGAGGUUCUCCUCUCCACAGCGGCAAAGGAAAUCUAGCUCUGUUCGGUUGCUGGAUGAUAGUCCCCCUUUUGCAUUCUCUUCGACAAGAGCAGCGACCAAAUUGGUAACCAAAAGGGCCUCUUCCUGGCCAAGGAACUCGGAAGCUAGAGUUGCAAAGGUCGCUGCGCUCGAUGUACUUGAGAAAUGGACGGUCGACCGCUCACAGUUACUCAUUGGCCAUAGAUUUGCAUCAGGAGCGUAUAGUCGUCUGUUCCAUGGAAUCUACAAGGAGCAGCCUGUUGCUGUCAAGUUUAUCAGGCUACCUGAUGAUGGUGAAGAUCCGGAAUUGGCUGCUCGGCUUGAGAAGCAGUUCACUGUCGAAGUUACCAUUUUGGCUCGGCUCCAGCAUCGUAAUGUCAUUGAGCUGGUUGGGGCAUGUAGCUCUGCACCUGUCUUCUGUGUCAUCACUGAGUUCCUGCCUGGGGGCUCUUUGAGAGCCUAUCUGCGCAAGCUGGAGGGCAAGCAACUUCCUUUGGAGAAGAUUAUCUCCGUUGCCCUGGACAUUGCACGUGGUCUGGAAUACGUGCAUUCGCAAGGAGUAAUCCACCGUGACGUGAAGCCUGAGAACAUUCUAUUCGACGCAGAAUGUUGCGCAAAGGUCGUUGAUUUCGGAGUAGCUUUUGAAGACGUUUACUGCAACACGAUGGAAGACGACCCAGGCACAUAUAGAUGGAUGGCGCCAGAGAUGUGUAAGCGCAAGCCAUAUGGUCCGAAAGUCGAUGUCUAUAGUUUUGGGCUCGUCUUGUGGGAACUGGUUAGUGGUUCCAUCCCUUAUGAAGAGAUGACUCCUCUCCAAGCAGCUUAUGCAGUUGUUAAUAAGAACUUGAGACCGGUUGUUCCUUCGAGCUGCCCGACACCAUUGCAACAAUUGAUGGAGCAAUGCUGGUCCGCUCAACCCGAGAAGAGGCCUGAGUUUACUCAGAUAGUUAAAACCCUUGAAAAUCUCAAGGCGACUCUUGAUAGAUAUGGAACCAUUGAGAAGACCCCAACCCCCAGUUGCCAGGAAGCUCAGGAGCAAAACAAGAACAGGCUUGCCAACUGGAUCCUAAAGCUCUCAUAUAGCCCACCGGAUUUCUCAGGGCCCCCGCCGCCGAAGCUGCUGUGA
rnacentral:rRNA from 1 species